rnacentral:rRNA from 1 species
UACGUAGGGUGCGAGCGUUGUCCGGAAUUACUGGGCGUAAAGAGCUCGUAGGUGGUUUGUCGCGUUGUUCGUGAAAACCUGAGGCUUAACCUUGGGCGUGCGGGCGAGUACGGGCAGACUGGAGUACUGCAGGGGAGACUGGAAUUCCUGGUGUAGCGGUGGAAUGCGCAGAUAUCAGGAGGAACACCGGUGGCGAAGGCGGGUCUCUGGGCAGUAACUGACGCUGAGACGCGAAAGCGUGGGGAGCGAACAGG